rnacentral:lncRNA from 1 species
AAUACAGUACAGAUCUCUGUACUAUAAACGACAACAAGGAUCAAUCACAAUUUCAGUUCUUGUUACAUUGAUAAGACUCCUUCAGAAAGCAAUGAAGAGAAAAGCUGAAGUCAUAGUGAUUAGGAGUGUCUGUGUAAGUAAAAGCAACAGGCAAUCACUGAGUGUGGUGUGAGAGGCACGGAAAGAUUGGGAAUUCAGCAGGAAAAGGAAUUGAAGUCAAACCUCACCUACUUCUCAGAGUCUUCCGGAUUUUCUGAAUCGUCAGAAGCUUCAGUAUCUGAGGAAAGGACUCAGGCAACAAAUAAACAGCUAAGAUUUUACUAGAGUAUGAAAGGGAGAGCACUGGAGUGCAGUGUGGGGAUGGAGAUUCAGCUGUGGUGUCUGGAAGUGCAGGAGGGCAGCUGGAGGCACCUGGCCUCUGAAGCCUGUCUUCUUCACCUGGGUGAGAUCUGCUGGAGUCAGGAAGGACUUCCUGCUGCAAGGAUAAAGACCUAUGAAGCAUCGUGACCUGAGAAACAGUUUCACAGGCCACUCUUGGUAGGCUGAAGUGUGGUGGCAUAAUCAUGACUCACUGCAGCCUUGAACUCUGGGACUCAAGCUAAUCUCUUUCCUCAGCCUUCCCAGCAGCUGGGACUACAGGUAUAUGCCACCAAACCUAGCUAACAUUUUUUAAAAUUUUUUCUUUUGUAGAAAUGGUGUCUCGCUAUGUUGACCAGGCUGGUUUUAAACUCCUUGCCUCAAGUGAUCCUCCCAUCUUUGCCUCCCAAAGUCUUGGGAUUACAGGCAUAAGCCACUGCACCCAGCUACAAUACAUUUUGGAUGCUGACUUUAUAUCCUGUGACUUUGCUAUGGUCACUUAUUAUUUCUAGACAUUUUUGUUUUUGACAGAGUCUCACUGUGUUGCUUAGGCUGGAGUGCAGUGGCACAAUCUUCAUUCACUGCAACCUCUGCCUCCUGGGUUCAGGCUAUUCUCCUGCCACAGCCUCCAGAGUAGCUGGGACUACAGGCAUGCAACACCAUGCCCGGCUAAUUUUUGUAUUUUUAGUAGAGACGGGGGAAUCACCAUGUUGGUCAGGCUGGUCUUGAACUCCGGACCUCAAGUGAUCUGCCUGCAUCGGCCUCCCAAAGUGUUGGAAUUACAGGCGUGAGCCACCAUGCCUGGCCACAUGUUUUUUUGAUCCUUUAGGAUUUUCUACCAAGGCUAUCAUGUCAUCUAUAAUCAAGUACUCUUUUAUUUGUUUUUUUCCAAUUUGUUUUGUAUUUUAUUUCUUUUUUCUCAAAGCUUAUUGUACUGACUAAGAUCCCCAGAAUAAUGUUGAAUAAAAGUAUUGGAAACAG